GGGGCGCUGGGAUCGGCCGGACCCCGCGGUUGCGCCCGGGCUGGGACUCCCGGGCUCCUUUUGUGAGCGGAAGGCAGGGCCCUCUCCGGGUCUCUGAAAAUGGUCAGUUCGGCUUCGCAGGGCUGCGUGCCCGGAAUAAUAAAUUGGCUUCUCUAGGGUCGUAAUCUGGGCCCCACCCCGAGCAGCUUUGAGCUGGUUCGCGCCUUCCAGGCAGGACUACUGGGGGUUCUCAAAAGCACCCCCGCGGUCGGCUGUGUCAGGAUCACCUGGGUCCGGUGUGAACACGAUUCCAGGGCCCCACCCCAUCGCCUGAAGCGGAAUCUCUGGGCGGGGCCCAGGAAUCCGAGUUUUUGGAACAGGGAGAAGACUUUUCUCGAACCUGUUUGCAGAGAGCCGUCUUGCCCGCUUUGAGGGCCCUUUCUCGGGAGACCUGUUUGCUUUGUUCAACCUCUGAAUUCAGCAGACCCCAAAUCCACCAAGGCCACUAGCUUAUGAGUGAAUGUGGUCCCUUCAGGUAAGGGCCAGACAGCCCCUACCAGGGCUUGGGGAGGGUUUUCCUAGAGGAAUCCUGGCAGUAAAAAAACCAACCCCCAAACUCUCCAAGUGCUGGACGCUGGAGAAUCCCAGCAAGGAAAAGGAACAAAUCUUAUCUCAUGCCGGAAGAUAACCUCUUCCCUUUGUUGGCGCCUUUCCUUGCGUUCAGGAUGAAUUAAAAUUCUUAUCUGCUCUGCA